GCAAGUCGAGCGCGAAAUCACUUCGGUGAGAGUAGAGCGGCGGACGGGUGAGUAACGCGUAAGAAUCUACCUAGUAGUGGGGGACAACUCGGGGAAACCCAAGCUAAUACCGCAUACGCCCUACGGGGGAAAGCGGGGGAUCUUCGGACCUCGCGCUAUCGGAUGAGCCUGCGUUGGAUUAGCUUGUUGGUGAGGUAAAAGCUCACCAAGGCGACGAUCCAUAGCUGGUCUGAGAGGAUGAUC
rnacentral:rRNA from 1 species